AGGAGAAGCUGAAGGAGGAACAUCAUCACCUGCAGAAGAAACAUGCAGAGAUCAGCAACAUGAAGAAAGAACAACAGUCAAACAAACCUAACACACCACAGAGAGGUGACAUUAUUUUAGACGAGGUCGACAGACAUGGUCACUAUAUCUGUCUGAAAAACUCUUCCAGUGAGGAUAUAUUGAUGGCAGGUUGGAAGUUAAAACUACAGAGCGGCGACCGAAUCAGCAUAUACACAUUUAAAGAAAACUUUACACUGAAAGCUAAAG